ACUUUGAGUUAAGUUGCGAUAGAGGCGAUUGAUUCAACAGGGGUGUGUGACUAUUGAUCUGAAUGGAGCGUGGGAAGUCGAGUCGAAAAGGUCUCUCACAUUUAACACGAGCUACUCGCACUUCACUACUAUCAAUGCAGUGACUUAUUGUUCGCAGAUAUUCACACUUGUGGACAUUUAUAAUUGAAAGUGCUCGAACUGAAAAAAGUGAAUAAAUGUUACGGCUAAAAGUAGCAAUAAAAAUAAUGUAGUCAGGAGAUACAUAUGUAUAGUAUAUAACCAUGAGUACAAAAAGAAUAGAAAAUAUCACAUUGACCGCAAUUUUGUGACGUUGAGAAGUUUUCAAAUCAAUUAAAUGAAAACUUCAAAACUUUAUUAAGCUGAUUAUUAACAGUGUACUUGAGCUGAAUGAAAAUGCAAUAAUUUUAGUCUGUGGAUGAAGCGCUACUUUAAAAACUGCAGCUACAAUAAAAUUAAAAUAGAGUUGGAAAAAAGGUUUUAGAAUAAUCUGAGCUAUGGUAUUCUCAGCAAGAAAAAAAUAAAAAUAAAGUAAAAAAAAAUU